rnacentral:rRNA from 1 species
AACGAACGCUGGCGGCAUGCCUAACACAUGCAAGUCGAACGAAGGCUUCGGGCUUAGUGCCGCACGGGUGCGCAACGCGUGGGAAACUGCCCUUUGCUUUGGCAUAACAGUUAGAAAUGACUGCUAAUACCGGCUGUUGUCGCAAGACCGAAGAUCUAUCGGCCAAGGAUGAGCCCGCGUAGGAUUACCUACUGGGUGGGGUAAAGGCGUAUCAAGGCGACGUUCGUUAGCUGGUCUGCGAGGCUGAUCCGCCACACUGGGACUGGGACACGGCCCGGACUCCUGCGCGAAGCGGCAGUGCCUGAUCCUGGACAGUGGGCGCAAGGCUGAUCGAGCUCUGCCGCGUGAGUGCUGUAGGUCUUAGGGUAGUAAAGCUCGUUUACCCGGGAUGAUAAUGACAGUACCGAGAGAAUAAGCACCGGCUAACUCCGUG